UACGGAGGGGGCUAGCGUUGUUCGGAAUUACUGGGCGUAAAGCGCACGUAGGCGGCUUUACAAGUCAGGGGUGAAAGCCCGCGGCUCAACCGCGGAAUUGCCCUUGAGACUGUAUCGCUUGAACACGGGAGAGGUGAGUGGAAUUCCGAGUGUAGAGGUGAAAUUCGUAGAUAUUCGGAAGAACACCAGUGGCGAAAGCGACUCACUGGACCGUAGUUGACGCUGAGGUGCGAAAGCGUGGGGAGCAAACAGG
rnacentral:rRNA from 1 species